rnacentral:rRNA from 1 species
UACAGAGGGGGCAAGCGUUGUUCGGAAUCACUGGGCUUAAAGGGCGCGUAGGCGGCUUCGCAAGUCCGGGGUGAAAGCCUCCAGCUCAACUGGAGAAGUGCCUUGGAUACUGCGGGGCUCGAGGGAGGUAGGGGUGCGUGGAACUUCCGGUGGAGCGGUGAAAUGCGUUGAUAUCGGAAGGAACGCCGGUGGCGAAAGCGACGCACUGGACCUCUUCUGACGCUGAGGCGCGAAAGCCAGGGGAGCAAACGGG